AUUGAACGCUGGCGGCAGGCCUAACACAUGCAAGUCGAACGAGUGGCGGACGGGUGAGUAAUGUCUGGGAAACUGCCUGAUGGAGGGGGAUAACUACUGGAAACGGUAGCUAAUACCGCAUACCAUUGGAUGUGCCCAGAUGGGAUUAGCUAGUAGGUGGGGUAAAGGCUCACCUAGGCGACGAUCCCUAGCUGGUCUGAGAGGAUGCCCAGCAACACUGAAACUGUGGCACGGGCCAGAGUCCUAGGGGAGGCAGCAGUGGGUAAUAUUGGACAAUGGGCGCAAGCCUGAUGCGAGCAUGCCGGGUGUAUGAGGAAGGGCUUAGGGUUGUAAAGUUCUCUCAGCCGGGAGGCGUUACCCGGAGAUGAAGCGCCGGCUAACUCCGUGCAAGCAGCCGCGGUAAUUC
rnacentral:rRNA from 1 species